rnacentral:rRNA from 1 species
AUACGGAGGGGGCUAGCGUUGUUCGGAAUUACUGGGCGUAAAGGGCGCGUAGGCGGAUUGUCAAGUCAGAGGUGAAAGCCCUGGGCUCAACCUGGGAACUGCCUUUGAAACUAACGGUCUAGAGUCCGAGAGAGGAUGGCGGAAUUCCCAGUGUAGAGGUGAAAUUCGUAGAUAUUGGGAAGAACACCAGUGGCGAAGGCGGCCAUCUGGCUCGGUACUGACGCUGAGGCGCGAAAGCGUGGGGAGCAAACAGGAUUAGAAACCCUAGUAGUCC